UACGAAGGGGGCUAGCGUUGUUCGGAAUUACUGGGCGUAAAGCGCGCGCAGGCGGUUUUCCAAGUCAGUGGUGAAAGCCCGGAGCUCAACUCCGGAAUUGCCAUUGAAACUGCAAAACUUGAGGACGAGAGAGGUGAGUGGAAUUCCCAGUGUAGAGGUGAAAUUCGUAGAUAUUGGGAAGAACACCGGUGGCGAAGGCGGCUCACUGGCUCGUUUCUGACGCUCAGGCGCGAUAGCGUGGGGAUCAAACAGG
rnacentral:rRNA from 1 species